rnacentral:rRNA from 1 species
AGGAUAAACGCUGGCGGCGUGCCUAACACAUGCAAGUCGAACGUCCUACGCAAGUAGGGAGUGGCGGACGGGUGAGUAACACGUGGGCAAUCUACCUUUCGGUGAGGAAUACCGGCGAGAAAUCGCCGACAAUACCGCAUACGCUUCGCAAGAAGCAAAGUCGCAAGACGCCGGAGGAGGAGCCUGCGCCCGAUUAGCUCGUUGGUGGAGUAAUGGUCUACCAAGGCGACGAUCGGUAGCUGGUCUGAGAGGAUGAUCAGCCACACUGGGACUGAGACACGGCCCAGACUCCUACGGGAGGCAGCAGUGGGGGAAUAUUGGACAAUGGGCGCAAGCCUGAUCCAGCCAUGCCGCGUGAGUGAUGAAGGCCUUAGGGUUGUAAAGCUCUUUCGCCAGGGACGAUAAUGACGGUACCUGGAGAAGAAGCCCCGGCAACUUCGUGCCAGCAGCCGC